UACCGCGUGUGUGAAGAAGGCCUGAGGGUUGUAAAGCACUUUCAAUUGUGAAGAAAAGUUAGCGGUUAAUAACCGUUAGCCUUGACGUUAACUUUAGAAGAAGCACCGGCUAACUCCGUGCCAGCAGCCGCGGUAAUACGGAGGGUGCAAGCGUUAAUCGGAAUUACUGGGCGUAAAGCGUGCGUAGGCGGUUUAUUAAGUCAGAUGUGAAAGCCCCGGGCUUAACCUGGGAACUGCAUUUGAAACUGGUCAACUAGAGUAUGGUAGAGGAAAGUGGAAUUUCUGGUGUAGCGGUGAAAUGCGUAGAUAUCAGAAGGAACAUCAAUGGCGAAGGCAGCUUUCUGGACCAAUACUGACGCUGAGGUACGAAAGCGUGGGUAGCAAACAGGAUUAGAUACCCUGGUAGUCCACGCCGUAAACGAUGAUAACUAGCCGUUGGGGGGAUCUACCCUUUAGUGGCGAAGCUAACGCGUUAAGUUAUCCGCCUGGGGAGUACGGCCGCAAGGUUAAAACUCAAAGGAAUUGACGGGGACCCGCACAAGCGGUGGAGCAUGUGGUUUAAUUCGAUGCAACGCGAAGAACCUUACCUGGUCUUGACAUCCUGCGAACUUUCUAGAAAUAGAUUGGUGCCUUCGGGAACGCAGUGACAGGUGCUGCAUGGCUGUCGUC
rnacentral:rRNA from 1 species